rnacentral:rRNA from 1 species
CAGUAGCCGCGGUAAUACGAAGGGGGCUAGCGUUGCUCGGAAUGACUGGGCGUAAAGGGCGCGUAGGCGGCAUGUGCAGUCAGACGUGAAAUUCCUGGGCUUAACCUGAGGGCUGCGUUUGAUACGUGCAGGCUAGAGUGGGGAAGAGGGUUGUGGAAUUCCCAGUGUAGAGGUGAAAUUCGUAGAUAUUGGGAAGAACACCGGUGGCGAAGGCGGCAACCUGGUCCUUGACUGACGCUGAGGCGCGAAAGCGUGGGGAGCAAACAGGAUUAGAGACCCCAGUAGUCCCUGUCUCUUAUAC